UACGUAGGGUGCGAGCGUUAAUCGGAAUUACUGGGCGUAAAGCGUGCGCAGGCGGUUCGUUGUGUCGGCGGUGAAAUCCCCGGGCUCAACCUGGGAAUGGCCGUUGAAACUGGCGAACUGGAGUGUGGCAGAGGGGGGUGGAAUUCCGCGUGUAGCAGUGAAAUGCGUAGAUAUCGUGAGGAACACCAGAGGCGAAGGCGGCUACCUGGACAAUUGCUGACGCUCAGGCACGAAAGCGUGGGGAGCAAAAGGG
rnacentral:rRNA from 1 species